rnacentral:lncRNA from 1 species
AAGGACCAGACCCAGCGGCUUCCUUGAAAUGCCCCCUUCCCACAGGUUCCACAGCCAGGUGUUCUGCAAGGCGAAUUAGAAGAACCUGACUUGUAUGGCUUCACUCUCUCUCUGCUGCAUCUUUUACACAGUUACCAGAGGUCAGCCAUCAGCCAGCCAGCACCAUACAUGAGAGUGAGUCCAGAGAAGAUAAAUAGAGUGACCUAGCCACCCUGCAGCUGACCGUUGACAACUCAGUGAACCCAGCCCAGAUCAGGAAAAACUGAACAUUUGGCCUGAAGGUCUUUGAGAGACAGAAGCAGAGGGGCUCUGUGUCCUGGAACCCCUGCCCAGUGACUAGAAAUCCCUGGGAUUCUUCUGACCUUUCUGUGGCUUUAUUGUUGUUUUUUUCCCCUGCAUUUGCCCUUUGUGGUGACUGGCUUGGCCAUGGGAAUUUACCAGGGGCAUUCUGCAAGGAGUGGCAUGUUUUCUGAUUGUUAGGGGCAUCAGGAUUGCAAAAUUUGCAAAGUCUUUAUUUGCUAAAGUGACUAAGUGGUAGAAUAAGCCUUAGAUUCAAGACCAAACGAUGUCAUUUUCUACCUGUUUGGCCUGAAUAAAAUUCACCUCUCUGAGCCUCAGUUUCCUCAUGUGCAAAUUGGGAGAAAUGUGUGAUCUAUCUCAUAAGAUUGUUUGCCAUCCGAAAAGAAUAUGUUUGAAAUGCUAUAUCCAAGCGUAUGACAGUUAGGAUUAUUAUUUGUCACAGAUAAAGGAUUAGAUUCUCACAUGAAAUACUAGCUCUGUGGCUUUGGACAAGUGACUUAACCUUAUUAAGACUCAGUAU